GACGAACGCUGGCGGCGUGCCUAACACAUGCAAGUCGAGCGGGGACAUGCGACGGAGAUGAAGAUUUCGGUUGGAUUCAAAGAUGUAUUGUUCUAGCGGCGGACGGGUGAGUAACGCGUGAGCAACCUGUCCCUUACAGGGGGAUAACACAGCGAAAGUUGUACUAAUACCGCAUGAGACCACGGUGAGACAUCCAUAGGGGUCAAAGGAGCAAUCCGGUAAGGGGUGGGCUCGCGUCCGAUUAGAUAGUUGGUGAGGUAACGGCCCACCAAGUCGACGAUCGGUAGCCGACCUGAGAGGGUGAUCGGCCACAUUGGGACUGAGACACGGCCCAAACUCCUACGGGAGGCAGCAGUGGGGAAUAUUGGGCAAUGGGGGAAACCCUGACCCAGCAACGCCGCGUGAGGGAAGAAGGUUUUCGGAUCGUAACCUCUGUCCUUGGUGAAGAGGAAGAGACGGUAGCCCAGAGAGCCCCGGCUACUACGUGCCAGCAGCCGCGGUAUACGUAGGGGGCGAGCGUUGUCCGGGAUGAUUGGGGCGUAAAGGCGCGUAGCGCCCGUUAAGUCUGAAUGAAAGUCCUGCUUUUUAUGUGGAUUGCUUUUGGUAUACUCGUCUGGCCUUGAUGCGGAGUAUGGAAUUCCACUCGUACCGGAAUUGCUUUCAAUUGGUGGAACCAUGGCGAGGCCAUUCUGGCUGAC
rnacentral:rRNA from 1 species